AUCUGUAACAGGGGAGGAUAAUGAUAUGGACCUACCUCUGUGGUGAGGGUAAAAAGAGUUAACGGAUGUAAAGCCCCUAAAAGAGUAUCUGGGCCAUCGUAAACGCUCCUCUGCUGGAUUAGUGAUGUUGUAGAAGCCCCGCUCCCUCCCACGGCUGCAGGACACGCGCCUGGCCCAGCUGGCCGCCUGACUUCACCUCCUCCCUCCCUCUCCUCUCCAGCUUCACUGACCUGCCUUCUUUAUCUCAAAUGUGCCAACUUCGUCCCUGUUCCCUCAACCUGCAACACUCCUUCCGGGCUCUCCGGGCCUCAGUGCAGAGUUACCUCCUCAGAGAGGUCCUUCUCGCCCGGCCGUCAGCCAAGGCCUCCUCCACCUCCUGACCUCCAGUCACUCGGCACCACGUCACACCGGGUGAUUUCCUUCCUUGCACUUGUCACUAUUUGAACUUACCGUAUUUAUAUGCAUACUUAAUGGUCUGUCCCCUCAGUAGGGUGACCAACUUGUCCAAGUGUCCCCAGGACUGUCCCAGUUUUAGCUUGAAAGUCUCCUAUCCUGGGAAGCUCUGUGAGGACAGGGACUCUGCCUUCUUCGCCUCUAUCUCCACUGCCUACACUGUGUCUUGCACGUAGCAGCCCCUCAGGACAUAUUUGUGCAAUAAACAAAUGAAUAUCUAAGCAACUGAAUGAAAAGGAGGGAGAGCAGAGGUGCCCCACUUUAAAGCUACAGCCAUCCCGCCUGAUAGCAGAGAGGCCUUGGAAUCCUGUUUUCAUCAUUUGCAGCACAUGCCGCCAAUGCCAGAUCAGCCUCGCCGAUGCUUUCACUCCUAACACCGGCUGCCUGCUUCCUGACAUCCUCAUUGAUGUUUAUGUUCCUGUCUCCAUAGUUACCGAGACGCCUCAGAGGCCAGCAGCUGUUUUGCAUCCCAAGAUCAACACACACGAGUGUCUGGAGACCCUGGGUGAUCAAGGCCAGGUGGAAGUUUUGGAAGCUAACAUGGUUGCACAUGUCAUUUCCUCAUGGACCAAAUGCCUGCAGCCAGCUUGUCAUAGAAUCAAACUUAGCUUGUCAGGGCUCUGAGCUCUUCCUCAGCCUGCAAGCUGUAGACGCAGACAGAACUUACAAAGAAUUAUUCUAAACAAGAGCAAGAGAGGUUGAAAGGGACUGUUGUGAAGAAAAGAGAGGCUACCAGAUAUUUAGGAAUAAGUGGGAGGAAAAAUUGCAAACCUAGAUUUCUCUUUCCUGUGGUGGUAAAGAAGCUCUAGCAUUUGGCUUUCUGAUUAAGGGAAAAAGACACAUAGAGAUGCAAAGGAAGCCUGGAAUUCAUCCUACACCUAAGGAAACCAUCGGGAUGAUCUGCAGAGACAGCUGGAGCUUGCAACUACUUGAGGUCUUCUAAAGAAACAGCCUGAAGAAUCGUGAUUAUAACUUAACAUUGGUACACGUCAGGUCCAUCCUUUAAGCUAUCAGGGGAAACUAUUUUUGAAUCCAGCGUUCUGAAUAAGAGGGGAAAAGUUGGGCAAUGGACUGUGCACUGUCGGAUGGAGGCCCCACCAGCAUCGGGAGUCCAGUUGGGGACACAAAUCAAACUCUGGGUGCUCCUCCGAGGAAGUGCUUCUGAGGCUCUGACCCCUCAUCUCACACUAAAAUCUGACUUAUCUUUCUUCUCCCUACAAACCCUGUGCUUAGCGGUCACCCUCCCUCCACACCUUUGCUCAUCCUGGUGCCUUUCCUGACCUCCCAGAGGCCAUCGCUAAAGCCCUUUAUGGCCCUGCUCAAAUGCUGCCUCCUCCAUGAGAACACCUAGGCCUUCCCUGCCAAGGACCAUCUCUCCAUAUCCCCUCCUUCCAUGGUCGCUACAACCGUGCAGGUCCUUUUUAGUCUCUUCUCACAUUUAUAGCGAUUUGUAGAUCUCUUUUCCUUCCAAACAGCAAAAUGCCUGAAGCUAGACCCUUAUUAAUUAUUGUAUUCCCCUGGAGCCUAGCACGGUGUGAUGAGCGCCAUAGGGAUUCAAGAAUUAUUCACUGAAUUGGAUCCAAGUGGGAGAGAGUCUAUGAAAUCUACAAGCAACAUGUGAGUGGGAGCCUGCAUACCUGGAAAAAGCUGAGUUCUAGUACUGUCAGCGGUCACAGACAGAGUUAUCGGUGGUUAGGUCAACCCUGGUCCUCAGACAAGCUGGAUGUGGUUUAUGUCAAAACUGUGCUGCCCUGAUGACCACAUUAUGCACAUUUGGUUUUCAUGGUGUCAUUUAUCUGGAGGUGCAGAAUUUUAGCUGGUCGGUGUCCCUUUCUGGAAUCCAUCUUUGCACCAAGGCCAUGCGUAGGCGAGCUUGCUACCUGAGUCCUGAGAAGUGCUCAGGAGCAGAGCCUGCACAGCUUCUACCUCAGUGUCAGGGGAAAGGGACCCAGGAUGAAAGUAAACAAAGGGCCAUAGGGAUUUGUCUGAUCACGAGAAAUCACACGGAGAAAAAGUCUCCUAUCUCCAUGGAAAAACUGACACCCUUCUACAGCCAGCUGUGCAAGUGGAGGAGAGAUGGGGAAAUUUGUAAUAAUUUUCAAGUUUGCCCAGAGGAUGAAGUUGUGUCAUUUUUCCUGCAACAAUCUGUGCUGCUGGCGGACAGCGUGGAAUUUCUUCCCGGAUUGAGUUGGAGAUUAUUCAUGAAAACAGCCAACUAGUCUGUGCAAAGCCAAAAACAGUGGCUUGUCCGAAUCUGCUAAAGAGACAGAUGAAGGUGGAGGGCGGACUGAGUUCCCACGUGGUAGCUCUUCUGCACUCUCACCUCCGUGGUGUUCGAUUUCUUCUCUCCGAUUUCAUCCAGCCCCCUGGCUUCACUGGUCACUCAUUAGCUGGCCCGACUCCUUGACAAACAGUCCCUGCACAGUCCCCUCCUGGGCCGUCUGCAGUCCCUUUCUCGCCACCCCCACAGUGUCUUUCCCUUGCAGGUACCUCAGAGACAGAUGGUGCAGUAACCCAGGAAACGCUUCUUGGAUCCAGUGAAAGGGAUGCAGGAUUCAGAUGGUUUGGAGGGAUGCUCUCUGUGGAACCACAGGCUGCCGAAACCAGGGAAGACAGGGCUCCCUGAUGCACCGCCGAUUUUAAGGUGGUUAAAUAAUAAAGCUGAAAGAGACUUCUCCCAACCACUGGCAAGCCUGCACUUUCUUAACAUUUUAGGCAGCUUUUUCUCUGACUCAGUCCCUCUAGGAAAGUCUGCCUCAGAGACUUAAAGCCUGAUGGAGGGUAGAGGAGAUGACUUCCUGUUUUCAUCUCUGAUUCUCUAGCUCAGGCCCAUUUUUACGCAUAGGUGCUUUCUGCAGAGUGCGACUCUUGGAAAUCUACCAGAAUAGAAUUGCCAGAUAAAAUAGAGGAUGCCAGUUAAGUGUGUAAUUCAAAUAAGCAUUAAUUGUUUAGUGUAAGUAUUUCCGAAAUGUUGCGUGGGACAUACCUAUACUAAAAAAUUAUUUGAUGAUUUUCUGAAAUUUACAUUUAUCUGGGUCCUGUAUUUUUAUUUGCUAAGUCGAGCAACCCUUGGCAGGUGGAGCCUGAGCCUUUUCAUGACUCCCAGUCGUCAGUCAUCUAUUUAUCUUGAUAGCAGGCGUUUCUAUGGCAUGGUCUAUCAGUUAGCUAAUGUCACAAAAAUACUGCAUAACCAACCUCAAAAUUCGGUGGCUUAAAAUAAUAAUCAUUUAUUCUUGUGGAUUCUGAGUCAGCUGGGAGCCAGCUGAUCUAGACUGGUUCAGCUGGGCAUCUCUGCUCCAGGUGUCUCUCAUCCUCUCCCUGAGCCCUGUGGGCUAGCCUAGGGAGGUCCUCAUCAUAAUGAUGGCAAAGCUGCAAGAGAGCAAGACCCAAUGCACCAGCACUUUCAAGCCUUUGGCCACAUCGCCCAUGCUAACAUUCCAUCAGCCAAAGCAGGUCACACAGCCAAAUGCAGUAUCGGGACAUGGAACUGUAAAGGGUCUAGAUAUGAGGCAGGGUGAAGAAUUGGACCAAGCAAUCUCUCAUACUGAGAAAAGGCCUAGUCGAAUGCUGGGGAAGCCUAAGAUCUGACAUCACUUUGCCACUACCGACUCUGAGACCUUGGAAAAGUCUCUGAACCGCUGUU
rnacentral:lncRNA from 1 species